AGAGUGGGUCGGACGGUCGCCGGAUUGAAAGACAUCCGGAGGAAAGUCCGAGCAGGAUAGGGCACGGCGACGGCUAACAGCCGCCCGGGGCGACCCGCGGGAAAGUGCAGCAGAGAAUAGACCGCCGAUGGCCUUUCAUGGCACAGGCAAGGGUGAAACGGUGCGGUAAGAGCGCACCGCGCUGCCGGUAACGGCAGCGGCACGGCAAACCCCGCCGCCUGCAAGACCAAGAAGCUGUGUGUUUGGCCCGAACAUUCACAGCGGGUAGGUUGCUUGCCGAAAAGGAAACUUUUGGGCAGAGCCGGCCGGCAACGGCCGGUCCAGUGUAAUGACCGUCACCCUUUUGGGGAACAGAACUCGGCUUACAGACCCGCUCUUGUU
rnacentral:RNase_P_RNA from 1 species